AGAGAGAGAGAGAGAGAGAGAGAGAGAGAGAGAGAGAGAGCUCCCAUAUCACUGCCGAGCCGCAGAGUAAAAGCCACUCUUCAUUGCCAGCUCCCGCCUGCGUGCAGUCGACGUAACUUUUUUUUUUAAAGCAACUCCCCUUCGGAUGUGUAGGUUGUGUCCUUUGUCCACGGUUCGGGCUCGUCGCUGGGUGUAUUUUACGCCUGCUACGUUAGUAGCUGGGACAACCAAACGAGAUGGGGGCGAAGUAGGUGGAGAUAAGAGUGAAGGUUGGACUGUCUGUACUGCAGUGACGGUGGGAAGCCUUGGUUGUGGUAUGCGGACUAAGUAGCUAGGAAGCAAGGAUACGAGUGAAGAGGAAAACGCUGAGUUAAGUGUAACUGCAUUCUCGCCUGCUGUGAAGUGAAUGUUUGAACUUGCAGUGUGUUUUAUACACGACUGCUACCUGAUUGCUAGCUAGAAGCUACAUUGAACAGAGGGAGAGGGAGAGAGGGGGGAAGGAUAAACUUUCCAGCCUGACGCAGAACCGCAGACAUGCAGUUGACAGAGAUCCUUGGUUCAGGAACCUUCCUGAUCCUGCUCCUUGUCCCGUGGUCCGACAGCCUUUCCUUGUCCCCGGAAGAAGCUAACCAGUUCUUGAGGAGACACAGGAGAGCGAAUCACGUUUUCGAGGAGACGAAACAAGGGCACCUGGAGCGAGAGUGUGUGGAAGAGAAGUGUAGCAAAGAGGAGGCGAGAGAAGUAUUCGAGAACGACCCUGAAACAGACUACUUCUUUCCAAAGUACUUAGCGUGCAUGGAGAAGUUUGGGGACACGGACAAGAAGAAACAAGACCUGAUCACCUGUGUUCACAAUAUUCCAGACCAGUGCUCUCCGUCUCCCUGUAAUCCUCGAGGUACGGUGCGCUGUGAGGACCAAAAGGGCGGCUUCCUCUGCCACUGCUUCACUGGCUGGACAGGAGUCCGUUGUGAGAAAGAUGUCAACGAGUGCAACAAGAGGAAUGGAGGAUGUGACCACGAGUGUAACAACACUAUGGGUAGCUACCAUUGCUCCUGUCGCCGCGGUUACAUGCUGGUCGGACGCCAGAUGUGUAACGACGUGGAUGAGUGCCAGGAUCCAGGUAUGUGUGGGACAGCGUGUGUGUGUGAACCAGGAUGGAGCCUAUGACUGUCUGUGUGAGACGGGAUAUGUUUACGACAACAACACCAAGACCUGCCUAGAUGUGGAUGAGUGUGAGCAGGGAGUGUGUGAGGAGUGUGUGAACACACCCGGUAGUUUCCGGUGUUUCUGUGACGGUCGGCAGGGCAAGAAGUUGAGCCACGACCUCAGGAGCUGUCAGGAGAUCACUACAUGCGUCUCUCUCACCAUGAAGAGGAACUCCCGUUCUCUCUACCUGGGCCGAAUGUUCAGCGGAGUCCCAGUGGUCAGGCUACGCUUCCGCAGGAGAGUCCAGACUGGCUUCUCAGCUGAGUUUGACCUCCGUACCUUUGACCCAGAGGGGUCAUCUUCUUCGCUGGUGGUCACCUGAACAGUUCCUGGAUUGUUCUUGCAAUGCAUCAUGGGAAACUGGAGCUGCAGCUGAGGAGGGGCCAGCCGGGUCACCAGCAGUGGGCCUGCCGUCAACGACGGACAGUGGAGAAAGAUCUCAGUGGAGGAGCAGGGGCGGAGUCUGGUGAUUAAGAUUGACAGGGAAGCAGUGAUGAAGAUAGCUGUGAAUGGAGAUCUGUUCACCCUGAAGAAAGGCAUGCAUGAACUCAACCUGACUGUAGGGGGCGUCCCUUUCAAAGAGGACAGUCUCAUCAACCAGGUGAACCCGAGGUUUGAUGGCUGUAUGCGUGAGUGGCGCUGGUUAACCGGAGAGGAUACGUCCAUUCAGGAGACCAUCAGGUCUAAUGACAACAUGCAGUGUUUCAGUACAGAACAGCCCGGAACCUAUUACCCUGGGACAGGCUUAACUCUGUUCAACAUCACAUAUGCCCAGUAUGUCCUGGUCUCUGUGGGUGAUGUGAUCGUGGCCAGCGCCCCGGCCUUCCUGUGUGAUGCAGAGGUUCAUGAGGUCAAUGUGACGGUCAGUGGGAACAUGACCAUACUAGAGGUGGACGGUCAGCCUGGACAGAGUCACACCACACCUGGACAGGAGACGGUUGACCUCAGCCUGCCUUCAACCACCUUUAUAGGAGGGCUCCCCGACGUGCCCCUGGUGUCGACCCUGGUGUCGUCGUUCUACCGCGGCUGCAUGGAGGUGACGAUCAACGGCCUGGCUCUGGACCUGGACGAGGCCUUCCACAAACACAACGACAUCCGCUCCCACUCCUGCCCUCUGCUGGGGGGGGCCUUGUGACCGCUGCAGUCCCCUUCAGCCCCGUCCUCACUGGAGCAGGGGGGAGUUGCCCCGAGACACUGAUCUUGGGUCAGUUUGACAUUUCCCCCACAGAUGGUUAAGGUUAGGAUUAGGGGGAGUGGAAGCUGAUCCUAGAUCUGUAGCAAGGGGAGACUUCACCCCGUCCACUACAGUCCACCAUAACCCACAGGGCCUUAACCUAAGCAAGGACUGAGUCCCAAAUAGCACUCUAUUCCCUAUAUGACCCCUAUGGGUUCUGGUCAAAACUAGUGCACUAUUUAGGGAAUAGGGUGCCAUUUGGAAUGUACCCAGGAGCUGGCCGUGUGGCCAACCCUUCUCCUGACCAACCCUCAGUCAUUCUGCCCUCAGCGUGAUUGAAUGUAGGAGCAGCACUCUCACAUCUGAGGUUGCAGGUGCGUAGGAAAAUUCAGUGAUGUCUCGAAAACAAAAAUCCAAUAUUUCACACGGCUCUUGACCGUAUGUUUUAGUGUAAUGAGCUCAUGUAUCGGCCUUCGUCAGAGCUCACGGUGAUCAAACUGGAUCCAUAAGUGGAAUAACUGGCAGUACUCCAGAAGAGGUUUGGUCAACUGACCCAGUCCAUUGUGGAACAAACCCUAUAAGGUGUGUGGGGGUGUAAUUCAGUAGCACAAGGCUUUGUUGUUGUAAAACUUGCACACCAUCGCAGGUGAAAAUGGACUGAGUUUAAUAAAAACAUCUGUUCGGUGCUUUUCCAACUUAAUGCAAACUUAGUCUACCUGCAAUUUAGCUCUGCACACUGCCUACAGAUUACAGCAUAUGGCUCUGCCUUCUGUUAAUAUGACCCCAUUAAAGACCCUUCCUUCCCCUCCCAAACCAUGCUUCUAGUCCUCUGUAGUUACAUCCACCCACCGUCAGCCAAUGAAACACUCCAUUACUGUCCCCCUUUCACAUGCCCCGCCCUCCUUCCCUCAGUAUCACCAAUCAGCACACGCCAGGAACACACUUUAAGCCAAUCAGACGAGGCGAAUUAACAUGCAGUAACCAAUCAGACACACGGGGGAGGGCAUCAAGAGCACUGCUUCACCACACUGAGCUACUGAGAGAAUAGGAGUGGAAGUGUUGUAAUAUACUGUAUGUGUAAAUAAUGUGAUGCUUUUUAGAAAAAAAGACAAAAGGAAAUAAAGACCUGAACGCAUUGAGAUAAUCACCCAAAACAGGUCCACUUCUCUCCAGAAUGUCAGAACAAACAUCUUUCAUUAGGCCAGAAAGGGCUACAGUAUUUCCUCCUCUGGGAUCGAGAGUUUCUGAUGAGUUUCACAAUGGAGCGAUGGAUGUUUUCCUCCUCUGUGUUGUGUGUUUAUUAUACUAUAGGUUUGUUUCGCUGCUGAUUUGUUCUCCUGUCUUUUAGUCUUUACAUCCCUGAUCACAUCAAUUCAGUCUGAUUUGAAAACGUAAUAAAGAUGAUGACAUGGGAGUUUUAAAA